GAUGAAGAACGUAGCGAAAUGCGAUAAGUAAUGUGAAUUGCAGAAUUCAGUGAAUCAUCGAAUCUUUGAACGCACAUUGCGCCCGCCAGUAUUCUGGCGGGCAUGCCUGUUCGAGCGUCAUUUCAACCAUCAAGCCCCGGGCUUGUGUUGGGGACCUGCGGCCGCCGCAGGCCCUGAAAUGCAGUGGCGGGCUCGCUGUCACUCCGAGCGUAGUAGUUACAUCUCGCUCUGGGCGUGCUGCGGGUUCCGGCCGUUAAAAGCCUUAUUUACCCAAGGUUGACCUCGGAUCAGGUAGGAAGACCCGCUGAACUUAAGCAUAUCAAUAAGCGGAGGA
rnacentral:misc_RNA from 1 species